GACGUGUUUAUUGCCUCCAGGAGGAGAGAGCGUGUGUGUGUGUGUGUGUGUGUGUGUGUGUGUGUGUGUGUGUGUGUGUGUGUGUGUGGGUCAAUGUGUUGAACACAGUUGUAUUUUGUGUAUUCAACACAACAAGAGGAAACUUUACAAACAAGUGUUAAAUAAAUAACCACGAGGACCGAAAACAGAAACAAAUCCCUCCAAAUCCCACAGAUUAGAUUCAUAAUCCCAAACUGCCUCGUUCAUUUAUUCUUCUCCUCGUGAGGGACUUCAUAACUCCACUUAUCAUCUCACAUCCGACACCCCCACUUUAAGACACUUUUUGUGUCCUACAUUUCCCACAAUGCAUCCCGAUGCAGUCCUUUUCUUCUGUAUUCCUGCAUGUUUAAAAUGCCGCACCUCCAGUUUUAUUAAUGCAGGUUCUGUUAAACUCAAACGAUGACAUCACUGUUGCGUAAUCAUUUAAAAAGACAAGGAUGUGAACUCAACUUAUGUUGAGUGAUGUGUAAAAGUUCCUCUUUCAGAAAACCUAAAUAAUAAAAAUCAUCAUCAUAAAACACAGAGAAUGUAGUUUCAAAUGAUAUGAAAACAAACACUUACCGAGAUAUAAUCUCAACGUGCUUUUUAUCAAUUAUAAAACCUUUCACUGAUUUUAAAUAUUUUUUAAGUUUAUUGUCAUUUUGGGGGUUAAAAACUGUAUUUCUUUGCCUCCGAUCAGCUGUGACGUUCAUAGAGGUAUAAAUAAGCCCCUCAGAGAACAUCUCCCUCCUCCAUCAGACACAUCUCCACCCGACUCGCUUUGUCUCGUCAGCUCGUCCCCUCAGAGCCCAACGUGGUGCCUCCUCUCGUCUGCAGCUGACCUGGAGUCAGAGUUGAGCUCCUUAAAGAUGAAGUAGCACCGAUGAUCCUCAGCAGGUUUCACCUCAAUGAUUCCGAGGACCUUUAUUUCAGAAAUAACUCGGAUGUGCCGGUGAAAGAUGUUCUUUUAAUCACCAAACUGAGUGAAGACUUUGGACAGAGUUUGAUGAUUUUAAAAUGGGACUCCUCAGCAAGCCGCGCGUUGACCUGUGAUCAGCAAAGAACAUUUAAAGAGCCGUAAAAGUAUCGUCGUAAAAGUGUCUCCCUUAUUUAGAUGUCGGGAUGGAGGGAUGAGGGUGUGGGUCUCGUGGGCAGUGCUGCUGUCGUACAAACGAGGCACGUUGUUGUAGAAAAGAAGACGUCCACCGGGACAGAACCAGCUCGGCAGGCAGUUUGACUCGCGUACCGCUGCCGUACGGAACCAUCAGCAGAACCACCAACAGAACCCUGUGAGCCCUGUGAGUAUCGGCCUCAAAGUGCUUACAAAGCAGAGGUCACAGCAGAGGUCACAGCGGAGCCGAUGCCAUUUGUGGACCUCAUUACAGCUUCUCUUGUUCAGAUAGUGAGCAGAGCAAAGGAUUUCACUCAUUUGCCAGGUUGGUUUCAGAUAUGUGGGACAGUGUUGGUGCAGCCAGCUAAUAUAUAUAUAUAUAUAUAUAUAUAUAUAUAUAGAUCUAUAUAUAGAGAGAUAUAGUGACUCCGUUGGAUCACACGUCUUUCUACUGCCUCUCUCAGAAUCUAUGAUUGAUGAAUCUAUGAUUAUCCAAGAUUUUGCUUGCUUGCUUUGCUGUUAUCGAUCUCACGGGAGGCGUUAAAUGUUAAACAUUUAGCGUGGGAGGUUUUUUGUAGAGGGACUAAUCUACUAACUGGAAUCAUUCCGGUUCGUCUUUGGGAACGGAGCAAAAAGUGAGGCAGCAGUUUUGUCAAAAAAUGGCCUCGACCACCACAACAACAACAACAACAACAACAACGACGACGAGGCGUGUAAACACAGGCCUCCGCUGUGCCUCAUGAGCGGCUUCCCCUGAGGCUGUGCUGGUGCGUCGCCCUGGGUUACGCCUUCAUCGUCACCCCGCUAAAUGAAGAUGAUAAGAGGAAGCCUUUGUUUACAUACAUUCAGCUCCGGGUCUCAUAAAUAAUAAAUAUAAUCUCAUGUUCGUCGGGGGGGGGUCUUUGGCUGAGUGGUGGUCCGACACUCCCUUUAAGAGCCCUUUAAAAGCACCUGACGCACCUUGUUGGUCAACAUGUGUCACUUCAUCACUUCUAACUGUUCAUCUCAAAGCAAAAGGGUUUUGAGUCGUGGUGGAUCCUCUUUUCGUUGCCGUGGUGACGGUUUUUAAGACGUUGUCUGGCUGUCUUUAAAACCAUCCCCACGGCAACGUGAAAGCCCCCCCCCCCAUCGAGGAUACGAUGUCCCGUUCUACCUUCUGUGUGUUGGAAUGACUACUUUUAAAAACGACGUUGAGAGGUUUUGUUUUGCUUUGUUUCAGUCGGGACGGCGGACUUUAACAAAUAAAUAAAUCCACUCAAAUAAAACUUCACGUCUGUGUAAAACGUGAAAAAGAACAAAUGAACUUUACGUAGUUUAUCUUUAAAAUGUUGAUUGUAUUAGUCGUUAUGGUUUGAUGUGGGGGGGGGGGGGGUACAGACAAUUGACAUUGGGGGUCACCAUA
ensembl:lncRNA